AACGAACGCUGGCGGCAUGCCUAACACAUGCAAGUCGAACGAGACCUUCGGGUCUAGUGGCGCACGGGUGCGUAACGCGUGGGAACCUGCCUUUAGGUUCGGAAUAACUCAGAGAAAUUUGAGCUAAUACCGGAUGAUGUCUUCGGACCAAAGAUUUAUCGCCUUUAGAUGGGCCCGCGUUGGAUUAGCUAGUUGGUGGGGUAAAGGCCUACCAAGGCGACGAUCCAUAGCUGGUCUGAGAGGAUGAUCAGACACACUGGGACUGAGACACGGCCCAGACUCCUACGGGAGGCAGCAGUGGGGAAUAUUGGACAAUGGGCGAAAGCCUGAUCCAGCAAUGCCGCGUGAGUGAUGAAGGCCUUAGGGUUGUAAAGCUCUUUUACCCGAGAUGAUAAUGACAGUAUCGGGAGAAUAAGCUCCGGCUAACUCCGUG
rnacentral:rRNA from 1 species